UACGUGCAUUAGACUAAUUAACAUACAGACAGUAGAUGUCACAAGAUGUUCUGUUCAGACCAAAUUUAGCCUAGGACAGCAAAAUAAUUACACAAUAACGAUUACGAUAAGUCCAGACACAUAGUCAGGCGGUUCACCCACGUACAGACCGCACCCACCAUGCGGGAUGAAUAGCAAAUGAACUAUUGUACCAGGUUCCUGUCCUCUGCGCGAUCCAGCCCUGGUUGGUGACUCGUGAGACAGAAACCCAAAGACUCUGUAAGUAUUGUUAUUGCUUGGAGCAAAUAAACAUGAUUUGAUUGAAUGCAUUGAACUCAUGACUGUUUUCUCCCUCUGAAUAAACGAACACACGGCGAGGACAUGGCCGAGGUCUAGGACGAGAAUCCUGCCGAACAGUGGCCGCUGGGCAAGUUAUGUAAUCGGUGUGUGCCUCAACACAGUAACACCGGCAUCUGCGGCAACCCUGACGCUGCCGGAAAUGGAAAUGACGGUUCGCCAUCAAGAAGGGUCCCCUGCCAGGUGCUCAGUUGGUUGCGGUUUGCAACUCUACCAGCAGAUGCUGCCAGAAAACGACUGAUUGCAUCUGAAGAUGAAGACAGCUCUGGACAUGAAGACAGCCCAACCAAGCCCCUGAAGAAACUGUCAAGGCAGUUUUUCCCGAAUCAGGACACUCAGAGGAAAUUGAACGUUUUUCCAACGCAUCCCCAAUGGCAUAAUGAGCUGGAAGUUACCUCAUGAAGGGAUCAAAUUGGGGAUUUUCCCAAAAGUAGUAGACCUCAGUACGAUGGAGGAACCCAACAAAGAGGGCCAUGACUCCCAUUGACUCAGCACUCCUCACCUCCCUCUUAUGGGCAACCAGAUCUGAUGUAAACACACCAGCACCAGGUAUCACAACGUUGUCCUGGAUCUGGCUGUAGACAGAAAUACCAUCCUCCUCAAUGAACCGUUGCAAAAAAGACUGGCACAUGCUGGAGUAAUAAGUUGCUGACUCUCGCGAGGGAAAAGUCAGCGGCAAACACUGUGCAGAACCGCUGCAAGCCUGGAUAUUUCAGCAACUUAACUGUGCCCAUCUGUUGAGAUUGCGAGGAGUCUAUCCAGAAAGAGGUCCCAGCAGAAACCCAGUCGGGAAUCGGUCACCGAGCCCGUGUGCCACAGAUCCGUCACUACACUCUACACUUUGAGUGCCCAGAACACAUCGUGUCGAUGAACUUAAGGUUGCCCACUUGUUAACAACGUUUGGUUGGUAGAUCAGACAAAUAAUCAAACAAACAAAAAACAUGAUAUUAACAACCCAAAAAAAGGACCGUUUUGUUGACCAUAACAUGCCAAUUUGGCUGCAUACAUUAGUCAGGCAAUAGAUCCAGUGUAGCCACAAACCACUGGUUUCAUGAAUUAAAGAUGCAGUUCCAUUAAAGACAACAACAGUCCCCUUGUCUCUAACACAAAACACAGUGUGUAAACAGGCAAAGGUGCACUGCCCUACCCAACCCACAUAUUUCAUUCACUUCAGUCUGACACUUUAAAUAAUGGAAAUCCAGCUGUAACAAGGUGUUCAGGCACUUACUGAUAACAUAAUUUGCCCACGUCAUCAUUUUUGUGCAUUGGUGAGCCCAGGUUAAUCAAAUAAACAAUAGCUAAUUUGUAGUACUGGAGUCUUAGUGAUGAGUGGAGAGUAGGCAAAAGGCUUCUGGUAAUUGCUUUGAUGUCAA